CGCGCCCCGCGCUCAGCUGCUGCUCGGGCGGGACCCAGGCUGGACCGCGGGCCCCGGCCUGGGGGCCACAGCUGCCACCGCCGCCGCCACUUCAUCUCCUCCCUGUCCCUGUCCCGCCCCGCGUCUUCCCGCUGCACUCGGGCCGGAGGCCGGGGUCCCUCCCCGCCGCACCACCCUGCGCGGAUGCCGAAGGUGAAGGCGCUGCAAUGCGCCCUGGCGCUGGAGAUCCGCUCUGUGACUUGUCCAGGAGUGGUGCUGAAAGACAAGGAGGACAUCUAUCUAAGUGUCUGUGUGUUUGGCCAAUACAAGAAGACACAAUGUGUCCCAGCCACAUUUCCUCUGGUCUUCAAUGCCAGAAUGGUGUUUGAAAAGGUGUUCCCGGAAGCUGUAGACCCUGGAGAUGUGGUUGCACAGCUGGAAUAUGAUACAGCAGUGUUCGAGUUGAUACAGCUAGUUCCACCAGUUGGAGAAACACUGUCUACCUAUGAUGAAAAUACACGAGAUUUCAUGUUCCCGGGUCCAAACCAAAUUUCUGGACACCAUGAUUCAAACCGCCAGGUUACCAUGAGGAGGAUUUCUGGACUAAGAGGAAUUGCUCCAAAACUGGAAUUUUCUACAACUUCAGUGAUCACGGAAUGUCUGAUAAGUUCAAGGAAGUGCCGCACUCAGGAUAAAUAUACUUACCAUUCAGCUCCAGUUGAUAAACCCCACAGCAGACUGCAAUGCAGACCAUCAAGAUCACAGAAGAAAAAGUCCAAGUCCCCUGAGAGGAAUAAAUACUGCAUCAACACCAAGAACUACGAACAGCCUACAAUAGCUUCAAAGUCGCACUCUCCAUCUCCCUACACAAAGAGACGGAUGUGUGAGCUCUCUGAAGACACCAGGCGGCGGCUGGCCCAUUUAAACCUGGGACCUUAUGAAUUCAAAAAGGAAACAGACAAGCCUCCAUUUGUGAUUAGACAUGUUGAUCCCCCCAGUCCCAGGGCUGAUGCUUUCUUUGGAUCACCUGGCAGAGACUGUGAAAGAGAUGAAUGGGUCAGGAUGCACAAUGAUCAUCCUCACUUUGGCUGCUGCAGAUCCAAGGAUUAUAAGGUUAUCAGGACACCACAUGGGAGAGACUUUGAUGAUCCCUUUGAAAGGUGUGAGGAAUUUUUGAGCCCAAGGACAUGUAACAAGGCCCAGCAUUCUGCAAGGACCUUACUAGUACACUCAGCACCCUCAACAGCACCAAAGCAUUGUCCAAGCCCUGUGCUAAAUAGAGCCUCUCUCAGGGAAAGAUUCCACUCUGAUUGGUGUUCACCUUCAAACUGUGAUGAGAUCCAUGACCGGGUGAAAGAUGUCUUGAAUUCACAUCAUGUUCAUGCAAGACAUUUAUGUGAUGAGAGAGACCCAGAGAAAGAUGAAGAACUGGAACUGAAAAGGGGUCUUUUAUAUAGAGACUCUGCCUAUGACAGUGACCCUGAAUAUAGAGGGAUUUGUCAUCACGGUGGGAAAGCAUGGCAGCAAUAAGCAAGCAUGGCAGCUGGAGCAGGAAGCAAGUACUGACAUCCUCAACCUCAACCAUAAAGUGGCUUGAGUAGACUGGACAUAGCCAGACUACUUUUAAAGCUCACAUCCUUCCUCCAGUCAGCUUGCACCAUCUAAAUCUCCAAACAGCACCAGCUAUCAGCGGCCACGUGGCUCUCUCCAUUUGGAUGAUGGCGAAUACUGGUCCAACAGAGCAGCCUCUUUUAAGGGGAAGUCCCACCGACCCGUCUUUGAGAACAGCAUGGACAAAAUGUACAGG